UGUUAGUUCCCCACCAAUAUCAGAAAUAAACCUGAAGGUAUUUUUUUCUCCCUAUUUAGACUUUAAGGCUACUGAUUCUGAUGAUGUUAGUUUUCUCUAAGACUACGUUUACAUGGAGAUCGAAAAACUAUUCCUAUUAGAUAGGGGGCAAACAACUAUAUAAAUAAGAAAAUUCCUUAAACCUAUAGCUAUGUUUCCUAAAUAGGAAGAUCCUAGACAGGAAGAAGGGUAUUAUAACACUGAUGAAGAAGGGUAUUAUAACACUAAUGAAGAAGGGUAUUAUAACACUAAUGAAAUAGAAAAAUUUAGAAGAAUUGGAAUUUUAUAAACUAAGAAAUAAAUCAAAAUAAUUUUUUAAAUCUCUCUCUUGGACACUCUAUCCUAUGCCGCAAUGGUCAAUAUUUCACUAAUGGCUCACUAUGCUGCCUGGGAAGAAUCCGAUGUUCCAAUUACCAUAGUGUCUAUGCUGGUCACGAGCACAGGGGGUAAUACAUUCCAUAGACCUGUUAUUUUUUCUGCUACAUACAUAAUUUAUUGAUGGGUGUGCCAUAUAUAUAUAUAUAUGUAUAUAUUCAAAACAGAAGCAGCUAUAUAGGUAGAAGGAUUAAUUUAUGGGUAGGUUAUAAGCUGCAGUCUUUGCUAGAUUAGUUCCAUUAUCAUUCUCUACUUCACCUUCUGUUAUUGCUGAGGACAUGUAACUCAAAACCCAAGAGUUCUCAUCUGGAGGUGUUCUCGUUUGAAAUUGCUGUUUACAAGCAUGGCAAGUGAUUUGGAGAAUGGUUGAAUUGAUUUGCUUCGUUGCAUGCACUCUUAGAGCUUGUGCCUUGUCUAACUCAGCUUGAGCUUGUUGCCUAAUUCUCUUGGCAUUGGCAAAUUCUUGUUCCGCCAUUUCAAUCUGCCUUUUCGCUCGUUGUCUUGCCUCUUCAGCAUAAGCUUUCUCUGCCAUGGCCAACCUUAGCUGCUCCCAUGCUUCUUCUUUAACCCUCGAGGCUGGCAAUUCAGCUUUUUCGCUAUUAUUAUUGCUUUCUCGUGGGGAAAGUUUACUUGCAUCUUUAGUUGUACAAGUGAUAUUUGAAUCGUUUUUCUCACUGAAAUCACUUGACCCAAUUGAGAGCUGCAACUGGGUGGAAUGAUUAUCAUCUCUCUUAGGAGAAACUGAGACUUCAAUGGGAUUUGAUGUGCUUGAAAGCUGGAGUUCCAAAUUGUAAUCUUUUUUAUCUGCAGUAGGGCUCAAGAACAUGGCAUCACUUGUUUUCCUUGGUAUUACUAAAGGAGGCCAAGGAGCUGUGCUGAAAUUGGUAUCUGUAGAGGGGCUUGGGCUUGAAGCUGUUCUAGACAAGCAUGCAGGCUGUAGUGACUGCGAUUCAGGUCGUAAACGUUCCAUAUUGCAAGUGUCUUGAUGCUCUAUAAAACUCUCAACUCUUGAGAAAACGCGGCCGCAAUCGCAAGAAUGGCCCCUGGUGCCACAGGUUUUGAGAUGAGCUUUAUAAUCAGAUUGAACAGCAUAACCUUUAGAACAUUUUUCACAGACCCAUUGUUUGUGGUUGCUGUGUUUUCUUCUGAAAUGUUUCUUUAUCCCAACAAGAUCGCCAAGGGCAUGGCAUGGAUCAUGGUGCAAGCAACUAGGCUCAGGGCAAACGAAAACUCUCUUCUUCACCACCGGAGUCUCUCUCUUGAGUAACUUCCAAGGGACCUUAUGCCUCCGCCUAUGCAUCUGCAGGUUUUGAUCUCUCUGAAAACCCUGGUUGCAGAUCUCACACACAUAACGAUCAGAUUCCAAUAAUGUUUUGGGAGAUAGAGAGACCACCUCAGCAUCUGGAUCUGGAGUUCCUGCAGGUCUUCUUUUCCUCUUAUUAUUGUUAGUUGAAGUUUCUAAGCAAGAAAAAGGAUCAGAAGAAGAAAAAGGAAGUGAUGAGGAAGGGUUACUGGCUAGCAUGGGUAAUUCGUAUAUGGGAUGUGUAUCUUGCAAGAUAUAUGAUCCUCUAUUCCUCUAUUUCUCUAUAAUAAUACAAGCCCAAGAAGAGAGAAGAGAAGAGAAGCAAAGCAAAGCGAAUCUUUGUUCGUGCAACAGCUGAUCUUGGAUGUAGCAGUAUAAAAACUAGUGAGGGAAAUUAAAGAUAUGUGUGGGGAUAAAUAAGAGAGAAGAUAAAGAAGAAGUAGAAGGAAAAAAGCUAUUUUCUUUCUUUCUUUCUUUCUUUUAGUAAUUGCUUCCUAUUGUAACUAAAUGCGUUUCAAUUUUAAUUCCUUCACUCUUAUUCAGUUCUACUGCCUUUCUAGUUCUGCUUUGGUCAAAGAAAGUAUUUUUCUGUUCAGAUAACCAUUUACAAGAAUUUUAGCCUUCAUAAAACUAAGAACAUUUCUCCUAUUGAAUUCUUUAAAAAUAUGUUCUAUACUUCUAUUGCGGCUCGAAAAUUCAGUACUUCGGGGAAAAUCUUUUUCCCUGUUUUGUAUGGUGAACAAAUUCAAGUGUGGAUUUUUGGUAUUAACUGAAAAACAGAAAUGGUAUCACUGCGACCUUGAUAAGGUUUCCUGGUGUUAACCUUUUUUUGUUUUUAUCAUAUCUUUUGAAACUUUAUAUCCAUAGUAGUUAUCCUGUUGAUUCUUGAUCAUUGAACCUAUAUUUAUACACUGUUGACUAUUAGAAAUGUACUGAUGAACCUUUAGUCUAAUAAAUAAAAUUUGCUUCAUUUCAGUGACACCUGUUUUCUUCAAUUCCUUUUGGAAUUCAGGAAUGCUGGAAAAGCCAAAAUUACUAUCCUUUUACAUCACACAAGGAAAAAGGAAAAUUGUCUUCAGAAAUAAAAAUGGAAUUCCAUGUUCUAUUAGUGGUAGUGGUAGUGUAGAUUCUUCCAUAACAUGUAUUAAUAGUAUGGUUAUUGAGUGUUGACAUGAUCUUCUUUUUCAUCAUUCUUUUUAAAUAUCUAAUGUCCUACUACUGGAUUUUGAGUUGUAGUUUGACUUGGAUUUACUGCAUUUGACUGAAUAACCCAAAGCCAAAUGAACAAGUUCGGGUUGAAAUUGGUUGCUUGACAGAAUUUGUUUCAGAAUAAGUGCUGAAUUACUGUAUGUCUCCUUGAUAGAUGGAUCAAACACCCUUGCACAUAUUGUGAAAAUUAGUUGAUGUUUCACAUAGUGUAUACAACUCUCUUAUCUUUGCACCCUGAUUGAUAUGGCUUUGAAUAUGACACGGGUGGGAUUAAGGCAAAAUGUAGAUUAGGUAACAGGGAACUUUCUAGUAUCUAGUUUUCUGAGAUUUAAAGGUGUUGAGUGUUAUCAUAAAGCAGUUUCUCUUUCUUUAUGUCAGCCACAUAUGAAUUGGUGCCAUGCAAUUUAAAUUGUAUCUUUCACUGCAACUUUAGAACAUCAUAUGCCUCCCAAAUAUAAUGGCCAAAUAUGUCAGUUAUUUCAACUUUUGCUCCAUUAUGUUGGUUAUGCUUUUUAAAUCAUUAUUUACAUAUGUGAUUCUUGUAUAUGGGCAAGAUCUAGACUCUAGAGUGUAAUUUCUGUGACUUUAGAUUACUUUUUUGAGCCUUUUAUUGUCCUUUUAAUAUCUCACUUAAUUUCAUAUUUUUGUGGCCAUUCGGCUAGAAAGCAUCUGUGAGGAUCGA
rnacentral:misc_RNA from 1 species